AUUGAACGCUGGCGGCAGGCCUCACACAUGCAAGUCGAGCGGAGCGGCGGACGGGUGAGUAAUGACUAGGUAUCUGCCUGGUAGUGGGGGAGGACGUCCGGAAACGUGCGCUAAUACCGCAUACUAUCAGAUGAGCCUAGGUCGGAUGAGCUAGUUGGUGGGGUAAAGGCCUACCAAGGCGACGAACCGUAACGGGUCUGUGAGGAUGAUCAGUCACACUGGAACUGAGACAAGGUCCAGACUCCUACGGGAGGCAGCAGUGGGGAAUAUUGGACAAUGGGCGAAAGCCUGAUCCAGCCAUGCCGCGUGUGUGAAGAAGGUCUGCGGAUUGUAAAGCACUUUAAGUUGGGAGGCGUUACCAACAGAAUAAGCACCGGCUAACUCCGUGCCAGCAGCCGCGGUAAUAC
rnacentral:rRNA from 1 species